GAACCGGUGCUUGCAUCGGGGAUUAGUGGCGAACGGGUGAGUAACACGUGAGUAACCUGCCCUUGACUCUGGGAUAAGCCUGGGAAACUGGGUCUAAUACCGGAUAUGACCUUCCAUCGCAUGGUGGUUGGUGGAAAGCUUUUGUGGUUUUGGAUGGACUCGCGGCCUAUCAGCUUGUUGGUGGGGUAAUGGCCUACCAAGGCGACGACGGGUAGCCGGCCUGAGAGGGUGACCGGCCACACUGGGACUGAGACACGGCCCAGACUCCUACGGGAGGCAGCAGUGGGGAAUAUUGCACAAUGGGCGCAAGCCUGAUGCAGCGACGCCGCGUGAGGGAUGACGGCCUUCGGGUUGUAAACCUCUUUCAGUAGGGAAGAAGCGAAAGUGACGGUACCUGCAGAAGAAGCGCCGGCUAACUACGUGCCAGCAGCCGCGGUAAUACGUAGGGCGCAAGCGUUAUCCGGAAUUAUUGGGCGUAAAGAGCUCGUAGGCGGUUUGUCGCGUCUGCCGUGAAAGUCCGGGGCUCAACUCCGGAUCUGCGGUGGGUACGGGCAGACUAGAGUGAUGUAGGGGAGACUGGAAUUCCUGGUGUAGCGGUGAAAUGCGCAGAUAUCAGGAGGAACACCGAUGGCGAAGGCAGGUCUCUGGGCAUUAACUGACGCUGAGGAGCGAAAGCAUGGGGAGCGAACAGGAUUAGAUACCCUGGUAGUCCAUGCCGUAAACGUUGGGCACUAGGUGUGGGGGACAUUCCACGUUUUCCGCGCCGUAGCUAACGCAUUAAGUGCCCCGCCUGGGGAGUACGGCCGCAAGGCUAAAACUCAAAGGAAUUGACGGGGGCCCGCACAAGCGGCGGAGCAUGCGGAUUAAUUCGAUGCAACGCGAAGAACCUUACCAAGGCUUGACAUGGACCGGACCGCCGCAGAAAUGUGGUUUCCCCUUUGGGGCCGGUUUACAGGUGGUGCAUGGUUGUCGUCAGCUCGUGUCGUGAGAUGUUGGGUUAAGUCCCGCAACGAGCGCAACCCUCGUUCUAUGUUGCCAGCGGUUCGGCCGGGGACUCAUAGGAGACUGCCGGGGUCAACUCGGAGGAAGGUGGGGACGACGUCAAAUCAUCAUGCCCCUUAUGUCUUGGGCUUCACGCAUGCUACAAUGGCCGGUACAAAGGGUUGCGAUACUGUGAGGUGGAGCUAAUCCCAAAAAGCCGGUCUCAGUUCGGAUUGGGGUCUGCAACUCGACCCCAUGAAGUCGGAGUCGCUAGUAAUCGCAGAUCAGCAACGCUGCGGUGAAUACGUUCCCGGGCCUUGUACACACCGCCCGUCAAGUCACGAAAGUUGGUAACACCCGAAGCCGGUGG
rnacentral:rRNA from 1 species